rnacentral:rRNA from 1 species
AAUUAUUUAUUUGAUGGUUUCUUACUACAUGGAUAACCGUAGUAAUUCUAGAGCUAAUACAUGCGUAAAGUCCCGACUCUCGCGGGGAGGGAUGUAUUUAUUAGAUUAAAAACCAAUGCGGCCUUUGGUCGGACUUGUGUUGAUUCAUAGUAACUUUUCGGAUCGCAGGGCUUCACGCCGGCGACAGUUCAUUCAAAUUUCUGCCCUAUCAGCUUUCGACGGUAGUGUAGUGGACUACCGUGGCAUUUACGGGUGACGGAGAAUUAGGGUUCGAUUCCGGAGAGGGAGCCUGAGAAACGGCUACCACA